rnacentral:tRNA from 1 species
AGUAAGAUGCCUGAUAAAAAGGAUUAUCUUGAUAGGAUAAAAAAUGUAUUAUUUUUACUCUUACUA